GGUAAGUUGGCUCAGUGGUAGAGUGCUUGCCUCGCAUGCAUGAGGCCCUGGGUUCAAUUCCUCAGCACCA
rnacentral:tRNA from 1 species